AAAAAUUGCUGUUUCCUAACUUAGUUUUCUUUUCUUGUUAAUUUCUUCAUAAUAUACUCAAACAAUUCUGAAAAUCUUCACCAUUUUAGCAACCCUCCUAAUCAAGUUGCAAUAGCACUAUCACCUAAUCUUCAAAUGUUGCAUUCAGCAUUAAUAGACUCUAAACUUGUUUAGUCAGAACAUAAUGAGAUUACUUUUUCCACAUGAUCUAAUAUUUUAAGAAAAGACUAUAUAAAAAAAGAAAUAACUCUAAGACAUUGUGACUGAUUUUAUUUAAAAAAUGGUCAGAUUUUAUGUAUUCAAAGAAAAGUUGACUAUAGUCUAUAACCUUAAGAAGCUAUUUACUCAAAUUAUCAAAUUAUGCCAAAACUUAUUUU
rnacentral:lncRNA from 1 species